rnacentral:rRNA from 1 species
AGAGUUUGAUCCUGGCUCAGGACGAACGCUGGCGGCGUGCCUAAUACAUGCAAGUCGAACGGUGUACAGCGAUGUGCACAGUGGCGAACGGGUGAGUAACGCGUUGGUGACCUGCCCCGAAGUGUGGGAUACCAGUUCGAAAGGACUGCUAAUACCGCAUGUGGUUUUGGAGAUUAGAGGCUCUGAAACUAAAGGAGUAUUUCGCUUCGGGAGGGACCUGCGUCCCAUCAGCUAGUUGGUGAGGUAACGGCCCACCAAGGCGAUGACGGGUAGGGGACCUGAGAGGGUGGCCCCCCACAAUGGAACUGAAACACGGUCCAUACACCUACGGGUGGCAGCAGUAGAGGAUAUUGCAAAAUGGGCGAAAGCCUGAUGCAGCAACGCCGCGUGGGCGAUGAAGGCCUUCGGGUCGUAAAGCCCUUUUGGAGGGGAUGAGGAAGGACAGUACCCUCAGAAUAAGCCUCGGCUAACUACGUGCCAGCAGCCGCGGUAAAACGUAGGAGGCGAGCGUUAUCCGGAUUUACUGGGCGUAAAGCGCGUGCAGGCGGAUUGAUAAGUUGGAUGUGAAAGCUCCCGGCUCAACUGGGAGAGGUCGUUCAAGACUAUCAGUCUAGAGUGCUAUAGAGGGAAGUGGAAUUCCGGGUGUAGUGGUGAAAUGCGUAGAUAUCCGGAGGAACACCAGUGGCGAAAGCGGCUUCCUGGAUAGUAACUGACGCUCAGACGCGAAAGCUAGGGUAGCAAACGGGAUUAGAGACCCCGGUAGUCCUAGCCGUAAACGAUGUAGACUUGGCGUAGGAGGGUUUAAAUCCUUCUGUGCCGCAGCAAACGCGAUAAGUCUACCGCCUGGGGACUACGGCCGCAAGGUUAAAACUCAAAGGAAUUGACGG